GGAGAUAGCUGGUUCUCCGCGAAAUCUAUUUAGGUAGAGCGUCAUCCGAAUACCCUCGGGGGUAGAGCACUGGAUGGGUAAUGGGGCCUCACCGGCUUACUGAUCCUAACCAAACUCCGAAUACCGAGGAGUACUAGAUGGCAGACACACUGCGGAUGCUAACGUCCGUAGUGAAGAGGGAAACAACCCUGACCUACAGCUAAGGCCCCUAAUUCAUGGCUAAGUGGGAAAGCAGGUGGGACGACCAAAACAACCAGGAGGUUGGCUUAGAAGCAGCCAUCCUUUAAAGAAAGCGUAAUAGCUCACUGGUCGAGUCGGUCUGCGCGGAAGAUGUAACGGGGCUAAACUAUGCACCGAAGCUGCGGAUUCAUACUUUGUAUGAGUGGUAGGGGAGCGUUCUGUAAGCGGUUGAAGGUGUACCGGGAGGUAUGCUGGACGUAUCAGAAGUGCGAAUGCUGACAUGAGUAACGAUAAAGAGUGUGAGAGACACUCUCGCCGAAAGUCCAAGGGUUCCUGCGUAAAGCUAAUCUGCGCAGGGUUAGCCGGCUCCUAAGGCGAGGCCGAAAGGCGUAGUCGAUGGGAAA
rnacentral:rRNA from 14 species